UACGAAGGGGGCUAGCGUUGCUCGGAAUUACUGGGCGUAAAGGGAGCGUAGGCGGACAUUUAAGUCAGGGGUGAAAUCCCAGAGCUCAACUCUGGAUCUGCCUUUGAUACUGGGUGUCUUGAGUGUGAGAGAGGUAUGUGGAACUCCGAGUGUAGAGGUGAAAUUCGUAGAUAUUCGGAAGAACACCAGUGGCGAAGGCGACAUACUGGCUCAUUACUGACGCUGAGGCUCGAAAGCGUGGGGAGCAGACAGG
rnacentral:rRNA from 1 species